UAGGCAGACAGCAAAUUAUCCGAUGCCCAGGCAGGAUAUGAAAAAACCAUGACGGCUCUGUUGCCGGCCUUGGCAGGAGUUAACCUGAUUUAUGGAAUGG
rfam:Desulfosporosinus youngiae DSM 17734 chromosome, whole genome shotgun sequence.